rnacentral:rRNA from 1 species
CCCCUGGGAUCAGUGGCGAACGGGUGAGUAACACGUGGGCAACCUGCCCCUCACUCUGGGAUAACUCCGGGAAACCGGGGCUAAUACCGGAUACGACCUGGAGCGACAUCACUCCAGGUGGAAAGAACUUCGGUGAGGGAUGGGCCCGCGGCCUAUCAGCUAGUUGGUGGGGUAACGGCCCACCAAGGCGACGACGGGUAGCCGGCCUGAGAGGGCGACCGGCCACACUGGGACUGAGACACGGCCCAGACUCCUACGGGAGGCAGCAGUGGGGAAUAUUGCGCAAUGGGCGAAAGCCUGACGCAGCGACGCAGCGUGAGGGACGACGGCCUUCGGGUUGUAAACCUCUUUCAGCGGGGACGAAGCGCAAGUGACGGUACCCGCAGAAGAAGCACCGGCUAACUACGUGCCAGCAGCCGCGGUAAUACGUAGGGUGCAAGCAUUGUCCGGAUUUAUUGGGCGUAAAGAGCUCGUAGGCGGCUUGUCACGUCGGGUGUGAAAACUCGGGGCUUAACCCCGAGCCUGCACUCGAUACGGGCUAGCUAGAGUGUUGCAGGGGAGACUGGAAUUCCUGGUGUAGCGGUGAAAUGCGCAGAUAUCAGGAGGAACACCGGUGGCGAAGGCGGGUCUCUGGGCAACUACUGACGCUGAGGAGCGAAAGCGUGGGGAGCGAACAGGAUUAGAUACCCUGGUAGUCCACGCCGUAAACGUUGGGCGCUAGGUGUGGGGAACCUUCCACGUUCUCCGUGCCGUAGCUAACGCAUUAAGCGCCCCGCC